GACGAACGUUGGCGGCGUGCUUAACACAUGCAAGUCGAACGGAAAGGCCCUGCUUUUGUGGGGUGCUCGAGUGGCGAACGGGUGAGUAACACGUGAGUAACCUGCCCUUGACUUUGGGAUAACUUCAGGAAACUGGGGCUAAUACCGGAUAGGAGCUCCUGCUGCAUGGUGGGGGUUGGAAAGUUUCGGCGGUUGGGGAUGGACUCGCGGCUUAUCAGCUUGUUGGUGGGGUAGUGGCUUACCAAGGCUUUGACGGGUAGCCGGCCUGAGAGGGUGACCGGCCACAUUGGGACUGAGAUACGGCCCAGACUCCUACGGGAGGCAGCAGUGGGGAAUAUUGCACAAUGGGCGGAAGCCUGAUGCAGCAACGCCGCGUGCGGGAUGACGGCCUUCGGGUUGUAAACCGCUUUCGCCUGUGACGAAGCGUGAGUGACGGUAAUGGGUAAAGAAGCACCGGCUAACUACGUGCCAGCAGCCGCGGUGAUACGUAGGGUGCGAGCGUUGUCCGGAUUUAUUGGGCGUAAAGGGCUCGUAGGUGGUUGAUCGCGUCGGAAGUGUAAUCUUGGGGCUUAACCCUGAGCGUGCUUUCGAUACGGGUUGACUUGAGGAAGGUAGGGGAGAAUGGAAUUCCUGGUGGAGCGGUGGAAUGCGCAGAUAUCAGGAGGAACACCAGUGGCGAAGGCGGUUCUCUGGGCCUUUCCUGACGCUGAGGAGCGAAAGCGUGGGGAGCGAACAGGCUUAGAUACCCUGGUAGUCCACGCUGUAAACGGUGGGUACUAGGUGUGGGGUCCAUUCCACGGGUUCCGUGCCGUAGCUAACGCUUUAAGUACCCCGCCUGGGGAGUACGGCCGCAAGGCUAAAACUCAAAGGAAUUGACGGGGCCCCGCACAAGCAGCGGAGCAUGCGGAUUAAUUCGAUGCAACGCGUAGAACCUUACCUGGGUUUGACAUGGAUCGGGAGUGCUCAGAGAUGGGUGUGCCUCUUUUGGGGUCGGUUCACAGGUGGUGCAUGGCUGUCGUCAGCUCGUGUCGUGAGAUGUUGGGUUAAGUCCCGCAACGAGCGCAACCCUUGUUCACUGUUGCCAGCACGUUAUGGUGGGGACUCAGUGGAGACCGCCGGGGUCAACUCGGAGGAAGGUGGGGAUGACGUCAAGUCAUCAUGCCCCUUAUGUCCAGGGCUUCACGCAUGCUACAAUGGCUGGUACAGAGAGUGGCGAGCCUGUGAGGGUGAGCGAAUCUCGGAAAGCCGGUCUCAGUUCGGAUUGGGGUCUGCAACUCGACCUCAUGAAGUCGGAGUCGCUAGUAAUCGCAGAUCAGCAACGCUGCGGUGAAUACGUUCCCGGGGCU
rnacentral:rRNA from 1 species